rnacentral:misc_RNA from 1 species
GCGCCAUCUUACGGUUAUACUUGAUUUCUAUUUUAAGGUGCUUAUACAGUUCCAAUAGAUUUCUGGAGAUUUUUUUUUUGUUAAUUAAUUUUUAUCAAUUGAUUCAAGAGGUUUGCCAAAAGAACAGCAUGAGUGCAGAAAUAUGUUUAAAAUGUGCCAAAUAUAAACAAUUCUGUAUGGAAGAAAUGAGGAGAAUGGAGAAAGAAUUAUUCGAUUUUCAAGAGAUUUGCAACAAACAGAUAAAAGAAGCAAUGGAAAAAGGAAAAACUGUCAAGGAAGGACUGCAAAUUGAGAUUGAAGCUCUCAAAAAAGAAAAGAAAAGAUUAAAGAAAAAGAAAGAUUUAAGUGAAAAUGCCGACAUUGCAUCUAGGACCAGCACGUUUUACAGAAAUAAACAAAAAUUGAGCGAAGCUGAAAGUGAAAUAGUUGAAAAAGAAGAGGAUUUAGUUGAAAGGCAUGAAAGAAUUUUAGAACUUGAACGAGAGAUUGAGGAGAAGGAGGAAUUUCUAAAGAAACGCUCUAUAAUUGUAAAAAAGAAAGAGCAAGAUUUAUAUGACUAUGAUGAACAUUUAGUUAAAUUAUCAUCCGAAUUGGAUUUAAAGAAAAAGGAACUAGAAAAAGAAUGUCAAGAUACUCAUGGAGUUAAAAGAAGAGAGACAGCUAAAUUAAAUUGGGAUUUUUUAAGAAAAGCUUUUAAAUCUAAAGUUACAUAUUCCAGUGGUAAUUCAAGUGAACUUGAAAUAGAAUUAAAAGAAACACAGAGAAACUUAUCAGAAAAAGAAGAAAUUAUUCAACGAUUAACAGACAAGGUAACAAAAUUGGAAUAUUCUCGUCUUCAAAUAAAUAAGAGAUUAGAGCAAUACGAAUCGAAGCCAUCAAUUAUAAUAACGAGUGAUGAUAAACCUUACACAGCCGAAGAGUAUACAUAUGAAAAUGAGGCUCCUUUGGUGUCAACGACUUGCUCUCUAAUGUAACUAUUUGGGAUUUAAGCAAAAGGUCCUCGUUUUACCCAUAAACACGAUAGGAAAAUAUAUAUAAAACAAUUAGAAAAAGAAGAAACAAAGUUUGAUUAUUUUAUUUAUUUAAUUGGAAAAAAAAAUCUCCUAAAAUAGCAACAAAAAAUUGACUUAGAAAACUAAUUAAAAUCUAUUUCAAUUUGUUAUCUUGAAUUGAUGUUCACGAUCACUUUUUAUCCCGAUUUUCCCCAUUUGAUAAAGAAACGCACAAUCCAAACGGGAGGGAACGAACUUUCAACUAUAUUUUCAGCAUCUUCGAACAACUAACCGCACAAUCGUUUUAACUUUUACACAGAAGAUGGCCUUAGUGCUGAAAAUAAUAAAUUGACUAAAAGACGCGUUUAGCACGUUGAGAAGGGAUAAUUACAUAUUAUUAUUUACUAUUUAUUGUUCAUUGAAUCUAUACAACGAAAAUAGUAAUUAAUCUUUUAACAAAUCUAAUAUUUAUUAUUGAUCUACCAUCUUAUUGGGUGAGAAAUGUUGAGG